rnacentral:rRNA from 1 species
ACGAGAUAGAGAUAUGUCAUGUGCCCUUCGGGGAAAAGUCGNAGACGAUGGUGGUGCAUGGUUGUCGUCAGCCUCGUUGUCGAUGAUGAUGUUGUGUGUUAACGCUCCCGCAACGCAGCGCAACCCCUUGCCAUUAGUUGCUACGCAAGAGCACUCUAAUGGGACCUGCUACCGACAAUGUGGAGGAAGGUGGGGACGACGUCAAAUCAUCAUGCCCCUUAUGACCUGGUGCUACACACGUAAUACAAUGGUCAUUAACAGAGGGAAGCAAAGCCGCGAGGCAGAGCAAAUCCCCAAAAAUGAUCUCAGUUCGGAUCGUAGUGCUGCAACCCGCCUGCGUGAAGUUGGAAUUGCUAGUAAUCGCAGAUCACAUGCUGCGGUGAAUACGUCCCGGGUCUUGUACACACCG